rnacentral:tRNA from 1 species
GCCGUGAUAGUCUAGUGGUUAGGACCCUGCGUUGUGGUCCGCAGUAACCCCGGUUCGAAUCCGGGUCACGGCA